UACGAAGGGGGCUAGCGUUGUUCGGAAUCACUGGGCGUAAAGCGCACGCAGGCGGAUCGUUAAGUCAGGGGUGAAAUCCCGAGGCUCAACCUCGGAACUGCCUUUGAUACUGGCGAUCUUCGAGUCCGGGAGAGGUGAGUGGAACUGCGAGUGUAGAGGUGGAAUUCGUAGAUAUUCGCAAGAACACCAGUGGCGAAGGCGGCUCACUGGCCCGGUACUGACGCUGAGGUGCGAAAGCGUGGGGAGCAAACAGG
rnacentral:rRNA from 1 species